rnacentral:miRNA from 1 species
GCAUACAAUAAUUUAUGACAGAU